rnacentral:rRNA from 1 species
UACGUAGGUGGCAAGCGUUGCCCGGAGUUAUUGGGCGUAAAGCGCGCGCAGGCGGUGCGGUAAGUCUCUGGUGAAAGCGCUCGGCUUAACUGGGCGAGGGCCGGGGAGACUGCCACGCUGGAGGGGAGCAGAGGCGAGUGGAAUACCGGGUGUAGUGGUGAAAUGCGUAGAGAUCCGGAGGAACACCAGUGGCGAAGGCGGCUCGCUGGGCUCUACCUGACGCUGAGGCGCGAAAGCGUGGGGAGCGAACCGG